rnacentral:rRNA from 1 species
UUAAAUUGAAGAGUUUGAUCAUGGCUCAGAUUGAACGCUGGCGGCAGGCCUAACACAUGCAAGUCGAACGGUAACAGUAAGCAGCUUGCUGCUUUUCUGACGAGUGGCGGACGGGUGAGUAAUGUCUGGGAAACUGCCUGA